rnacentral:rRNA from 1 species
ACUGCAAGUCGAGCGGGGUUACUGCGACAGAUCCCUUCGGGGUGACGUUGCUUUAACCUAGCGGCGGACGGGUGAGUAACGCGUGGGUAACCUACCCUAAAGCUCGGGAUAACAGUGGGAAACCGCUGCUAAUACCGGAUGACUUUAACCUAUGGCAUCAUGGGUUAAAGAAAGAUUUAUCGCUUUAGGAUGGGCCCGCGUCCCAUUAGCUAGUUGGUGAGGUAACGGCUCACCAAGGCGACGAUGGGUAGCCGGCCUGAGAGGGUGUACGGCCACACUGGGACUGAGACACGGCCCAGACUCCUACGGGAGGCAGCAGUAGGGAAUAUUGCGCAAUGGACGGAAGUCUGACGCAGCGACGCCGCGUGAGCGAUGAAGGCCUUCGGGUCGUAAAGCUCUGUCCUUGGGGAAGAAGGUCUUCGGACUUGACGGUACCCAAGAAGAAAGCCCCGGCUAACUACGUGCCAGCAGCCGCGGUAAUACGUAGGGGGCGAGCGUUGUCCGGAAUUACUGGGCGUAAAGGGUGCGUAGGCGGCCCUUUAAGUCAGAUGUGAAAGGCCACGGCUUAACCGUGGGAUUGCAUUUGAAACUGGAGGGCUUGAGUGUCGGAGAGGGUAGUGGAAUUCCCAGUGUAGCGGUGAAAUGCGUAGAUAUUGGGAGGAACACCAGUGGCGAAGGCGACUACCUGGACGAUAACUGACGCUGAGGCACGAAAGCUAGGGGAGCAAACAGGAUUAGAUACCCUGGUAGUCCUAGCCGUAAACGAUGGGUACUAGGUGUAGGAGGUUUCGAUACCUUCUGUGCCGCAGUU